AGAUUGAACGCUGGCGGCAGGCCUAACACAUGCAAGUCGAGCGGUAGAGAGGUGCUUGCACCUCUUGAGAGCGGCGGACGGGUGAGUAAUGCCUAGGAAUCUGCCUAGUGGUGGGGGAUAACGUUCGGAAACGGACGCUAAUACCGCAUACGUCCUACGGGAGAAAGCGGGGGACCUUCGGGCCUCGCGCCAUUAGAUGAGCCUAGGUCGGAUUAGCUAGUUGGUGAGGUAAUGGCUCACCAAGGCGACGAUCCGUAGCUGGUCUGAGAGGAUGAUCAGUCACACUGGAACUGAGACACGGUCCAGACUCCGUACGGGAGCAGCAGUGGGAAUAUUGGACAAGUGGGACGAAAGCCUAGAUCCAGCCAUGCCGCGGUGUGAGAAGUAGGUC
rnacentral:rRNA from 1 species